CACAGCUGGGUGUGUGUGGUGAUGAGGUGCCAUUGCAUUGACACUUGUUUGUGGCAUGUUUGUGUGGUACUUGCUUGCUGCCUUCUUUAUGUGAAUAAGUAGCAUGAAAUCUGUUUGGGGUUUCGGCACAAAAAGUAUUCUCAUCACUUCAUAACAUUAAGGUUGAAUCACUGUAGUCAUAUGGACUAUUUUAACAACCUUUCUGGGCCUUGAAAGUGGUAAUAACAUUGCAGUCUACGUGGGGUCAGAAAGCUCUCGAAGUUCUUCAUUUAUGUUCUGAAGAUCAACAAAGAUCUUGAGGGUUUGGAACAACAUGAGGGAGCAGAAAUGAAGUCAGUCUUCACUGAAAUUCCAUGCCGUAAUCGUCCCGUUCCUCGGAAGCCAAAGAAUUCAGACGGCAAAGCAGAUGAAUUUGUGUUGCUGAGUUAUGCCUGAAACCAGCCCGAGACAGAGAGGGGACAUCAGCACUUCAUCAGCACCACAAGAACACUUUCUUUAAAAGAGUUUCAUCAAUGCUGGAUAUGUCAUCACGGGGGAUGUUAACCGAUGGACUGAAGUUAUGGACUUUAUAUGGGUAAUUUGUAAUGAUAAAGCUGACAGUUGCAAUUUUUGGGUGUUUGAUGGGAGAAAUCAUAACACUCUGUAUGGUGCAUGUAGGUUGUAGUUACAAGAUUUCAUUUUUAAUAGAGAGGCAUCAUCAUGUGCGUGCCAAUUCGGUGGAGCAGCCAGAAAAAUACAUAUCUGUGGUGUAAUUUGAUGUAAAGAAGGACACUAUUGAUGCCAGAUUUUAUUCCUCAUUUGAAUUUGAUUGUAAUAAAUGAUGGUUGGUUUCAUUGA